AAUAUACACACACUUGAAACUCUCUGAAUUCUAUAAACUCUCAUUUCAUUCAAAGUUUCCUAAACAAACUCAUAUAAUCAAAAAUGGCUUGUGGUUGUACUUCUUGUGCCACUAACUGCAGCUGUGGAUGCAAGUCCGCUGCAAAGGAAAACCUCGAGGGAGGAUGCAAGUGUGGAGACAACAACUGCACUUGUACCGACUGCAAGUGUUAAUGAAGGAAAUGAUGAAGAUGAGGGAUUAUUUACAUGUCGAAAAUCCCUGAAAUGAUCUUGUUAUGGUAGCUUUUGUACUUGUCUUUGGUGUUAAAAUAAAGUAGUUGUGAUUAGCAAUACUUGAGCUUCAAGUGUUGUUACAUGUUAUUCAUGGCUGCAUAGUGUUUGUGUGCGUCCGGUUGGUUAUUUCAGUUGUGUAAUAGUAGUGGUUGUUUCACUUUCAGUCUUGUGGAUUUCAUAAUAAUAUUAUGGGUCGGGAUCCCUUAACAAA